UGGGGAAUAUUGCGCAAUGGGGGCAACCCUGACGCAGCAACGCCGCGUGCGGGACGACGGCCUUCGGGUUGUAAACCGCUUUCAGCAGGGAAGAUAGUGACGGUACCUGCACAAGAAGCCCCGGCUAACUACGUGCCAGCAGCCGCGGUAAUACGUAGGGGGCGAGCGUUAUCCGGAUUUAUUGGGUUUAAAGGGAGCGUAGGCCGUUUGGUAAGCGUGUUGUGAAAUGUAGGAGCUCAACUUCUAGAUUGCAGCGCGAACUGUCAGACUUGAGUGCGCACAACGUAGGCGGAAUUCAUGGUGUAGCGGUGAAAUGCUUAGAGAUCAUGAAGAACUCCGAUUGCGAAGGCAGCUUACGGGAGCGCAACUGACGCUGAAGCUCGAAGGUGCGGGUAUCGAACAGG
rnacentral:rRNA from 1 species